AAUUGACAUCGACAUCUUGAACGCACAUUGCGGCUCCGGGUCACUCCCGGAGCCACGCCUGUCUGAGGGUCGGCUGAACAAAGCACUCGCCAGGUCGUCUCGCUGCGGCGAGAGCGGCGGUACACCUUUCUGGCGCGUUGACAAGUCGCGUGGGGUGAGGCAAAAAAAGGAACCCCCGGCCUUCUCACACACGCACACACCACGCGUCUGUCCCGAGACUACAGCCUCUCGAACCGUCUCUCCCGGGGCAAGAAAGAGCUGAAACCGAAAGGUCUCGCGGCCUACGGGGACCUGGUUCGGGUAACCCCUGACCAACACGUCUCCCGCGAGCUUCCCGACGGGCCUCUUCCUUGACGCGAUUCCUACCCGUGGGACAUCCAGAGAUGGGCGCGGCUUCUGAUGUCGCAAGGUUCGGGGCUUUAACCGUUAGCGGAUUACCCUUUCGAUCUCCGACCUCUUAUCAGACCAAACUACCAGCUGAAUUUAAUCAUAUAAGUAUUCGGAGGAAAAGAAACUAAGAGGGAUUCCCCUAAUAACGGAGAGUGAAGCGGGCAAGAGCCAGAAGCGGAAAAGAGCCAAU
rnacentral:rRNA from 1 species